rnacentral:tRNA from 1 species
GCGACAGUAGCUCAGUGGUAGAGCCUUCGCUUCGCAUGCGGGGAGACCUGGGUUCCAUUCUCGGCUGCUCCC